GAGGGGAUAGCUCAGUGGUAGAGUGCUUGCCUGGCAUGCAUAAGGUCCUGGGUUCAAUCCCCAGUACCUUCA
rnacentral:tRNA from 1 species